ACGAAAUAAAUACAUCAGAAAUGGCGUUUGGUAAAAGCAAAGUUUCAGUCAUAUUUCUGUUUUUGCUUGGUCUGCAAAUGGUAUGUUGCGAUGUUGUAAAACAGUCAGCUGGUUAGUAUAUAUAUACUUUUUAAACGCGCGCGGGUUCAACCACUUCAACGAUUCAAUAUAGGCUAUAGCUGUAGAAAAGGGAAUAAUUAUAUGUCUUUUCAAGAAUUGAUUUGUUUUACAGCAAACUAAACCGUGUUCUGUGAACAACAGAAGACUAGGCUUGGGCGAUAUUUAAAAAAUAAUCUCACGAUUAUUGUCAUGGAAAUUAUCACGAUAUUCGAUAAUAUCGCGAUAAAUGAAAUAAAAACAAUGACCACAUUUUUCAGUUUUAAUUAAUAUCAAGGGAUAGUAAGCUUGUAUAUAAUCUUGCUAAAAACAAAUAAACAACAAAUUUAAGCAAUUUGAAGGCUUUUCUAGUCUAAUAUUUAUACCGUUCAUAAACCAGUACUGUCUAUGCAGUGUCUACUUUGUCUCCGUUGGUUCGCCUGCAAUUUCAUUCGCUGUUUUGCCUGCAAUUUCAUUUUAUCGUAUUAAAUUCGUAUUUAAUUCAGGAAAUAGUUUUAAUUCUUUUAAAAACUAUAUUUUCUAGGAAUUAAAAGAAUUUUUUAGGAUUUUAUAAAAGCUAUAUAUAUACACAUGCGAAGCAAUAUCACAGUAGUCAUCGAGCAUGACGAUAAUUUCGAUAUAUCUUCUCUGAAAUUUCUACCUUCGAUACGAUAAUCGCGAUUGAAAAUAUCGCCCAACCUUCCAGAAGACAGUGCCAACAGACGUCAGCCGGUCAUUUGUAUAGUCGUGUUUGAUGCCAUUCAAAAUACAUAUAUUAGUGCUCGCACGCUUUUAAUAUGAAAAAUUAAAAACGUCGUGUUUAAAUAUUACUUAGAAAAUGAGCGAAAUCGUCAAACCUAACAGCCACUGCCAAAACUACAAUUUAUGAUUUAGAAUACUGUUCAGCCUCCCCAUGCAAAACGGCCUUUUCCGAUUUUUGACUUGUUUGCUUUCUAAACUUUUACUGAUUUUUAAGCUCAGCAAUUUGCUCUCGUGUGCGGCGGCCUUUAGCUCAGCUAUGUAUUGUCACCGCACACGUUGGGAAGACUACUACUCAACAACGCUAUAAUUGACAAAGUCACAUGAAGAAACCAUGGUUUGUCAUUGGCUAAUUGAUUCAAACAGCUCAGCACUUAGCUCACAACAUCCGCAGACGCUGAGGUUUUUUCCUCGCGAGUUGCUCUCAUGUGCGCAUAGUUUUCGUGAGGAUUUGACCUCUCGAGGCCUUGAGGAAAAUAUCGAUCGUGUUUGAUAUUUUUCGCCUCGCGAGGAUAAAAUCUCAGCACCUGUGGAGUGCGGAUGUUCACAACAUCCGCAGACGCUGAGAUUUUUUCCUCGCGAGACGAAAAAUAUCAACACGAUCGAUAUUUUCCUCAAGACCUCGAGAUGUCAAAUCCUCACGAAAACUUUCCGCACACGAGAGCAACUCGCGAGGAUUUGACCUCUCGAGGCCUUGAGGAAAAUAUCUAUCGUGUUUGAUGUUUUCGCCUCGCGAGGAAAAAAUCUCAGCGUCUGCGGAUGUUGUGAGCUAAAUGCUGAGUUGUUUGAAUUAAUUAGCCAUUGACAAACCAUGGUUUCUUCAUGUGACUUGGAACAAAAUGGAGGAAAAUGCAAAUGAUUUUGUCAAUUAUAUUAGCAUACCUAUACCUUUAGACACCUUGGAUACAGUGGUUUCCACUUGUUUUUUCCACAAAAGUUGAUCAUCUACAGGGUCAGUUUCAAUCCUUGAUAGUCUCUGUCGCGAACCAAUUAUCAUGUAUUCUGUUUUAGCUUUAUUUAAAGUCAAUUUAUUGGCCAAUAACCAUUGAUGAAUAUGUUCUAGAUCAUCAUUUAAACGCGUUUGAAUGUCCUCUACGUUGGAACCUUUUGUUGUUAUAUCAGUAUUAUCUGCGAACAUAUUCGCAGAUGUGUACGAUAAACAGUUUGGUAUAGAUCGUUUAUAUAUAUAGAAGAAACAGUAAUGGUCCCAAAUUAGAUCCUUGGGGUACUCCACAACGUAUGGUGUGUUGUUGCGACCUAGUUUUUCCGAUCUUGCACAUUUGGGUUCGAUUUGUUAAAUACGAUUUAAAUCAGCUAUAGGCCACUCCAGUUAUACCAUAGAGUUGUAAUUUUUUAACAAAAUGCUAUGAUUUACGCAAUCAAAUGCUUUCUUUAAGUCAAGGAAUAUAACCCCAUUCAAAUAGCUUUAUGUACUAUUUAAAACACGAGUAGGAGUGUUUUAUCAGAUAUAAAACGCGAGGCGCAGCCGAGCGUUUUAUAUCUGAUAAAACACAACAACGAGUGUUUUGAAUAGCUUAAAAUACGACUACAAAAGAAUACUAAUUAGAAUGAACCAUAAUAUAAUCAUGCUAAUUAAGAUGAACAAUUAUAUAAUGCCACAUGUGUUUUAUCAGAUAUAAAGUCACUCCACGUGACAUAUUAUGGCUGACAUGAUUUGCCACAAGGUUUAUGAAUUAUUGAGUAUUUUAACUAUAUUUAAUUACCAUUUGUUUGUAACAUUUAGGAGCGCUGUUUGUGUGGAGUGUUUCUAUCUGAAACCAAAUUGCUGGUUCACUAUUACUCCAGUUGUUUGCAAAUAAUUAGAAAGCUGCUGCGAGAUAAUUUUUUCAAAAAUUUUCGCGACAACGGAGAGCACGGACACUGGUCUAUAUAGUUCGUGGUUUCCGUUUUACUUCUUGUUUUCUAAAUAGGAGAAAUAAUUGCCACUUUCAUAUCAUCUGGAAAUUUACCUUAAAAAGUAGUGAUUUGUUAAAUAUUUGAGUCAACGUCUUUGUAAUUACAUCCGCAGAGUCCUUCAACAGUUUAGCCGAAAUUUUAUCAUGUCCCGUGGCCUUUGAUGUUUUAAGUGUAGUCAAUAAUUUAAAAACUUUUGUUUCGGUUAUUGUUUGAAAAUAGAACUCGGAAUUUAUGGGACUUACAUACGAUUCUGGUAGAUAAUCCGGUUCUGGUAAUUUAUCAGAUAGAUCAGGGCCACAUUACUCCAUUCUUUUUUAUCUCAGAAAUAUUUGUACUUUUGGUUUUCUUGUUUGUUAGAUCACUUAUUUCUUUCCACAUUUCUUUCGGAUUAGACUCAUAUUGGUUAAAAGCAUUCAUGUAAUAGGUGUGUUUGAUCAUUUUAUUGACAUCAUUCCGGGCUCUUUUGUACGCGUCAUGUGCAUAUUUAGACUUAGUUUUAACAGCUUUUUUCUUAAGAGAAUCUCUAUAGUACAUUGAGUUUUUUAUUUCUGCCGUAAUCCAGGGUACAUAGUCAUUCCUCACUUUACGAGUAAUGCAAGAUGCAUGUAUAUAUCCGCUACAGCUAGAAAUUUUGUUUUCCAAUCUUCCCACAUAAUGUCAGGGUUGUCAGUAUUUAUCAACGUAGACAGAAUUUUACUUAUACUAGUCGUUUUUAAACGCUGCUUCUUGAUAGUUAAAUCAACUUAUUAUAUUGCCUUGUAACUAUUAUUUUUGGCUGUUUGCGCGGUAUUGAAAUUUUCCUUUGUAUAAAAAUAAGACUGUGGUCACUGAUUUCAACAUGUUCUAUGCCUGAUUUGAGAACAUUUUCAGGCUUGUCAGUAAAUGCUAAAUCAAUUAGCGUUGCUGAGCUAUCAGUAAUCCGAGUGUGCCCCGUAAUUAACUGCUUAAAUUGGUAUGUAGUCGCAAUAUCUGUAAGUUUAUCUGUUUGCGAGCUUGUUCUACUAUUUUCUGGAUACCAAUUACAGUUAAAAUCUCCUAUAAGUAUAAUCUCCUUAAUCUCUGUAUACGUCCAUUUUUUAACGCAUUCUUCAAAAUUAGCAAAAACGGUAUUUGUCAUUGGCUAAUUGAUUCAAACAGCACUUAGCUCACAACAUCCGCAGACGCUGAGAUUUUUUCCUAUCAAACACGAUCGAUAUUUUCCUCAAGGCCUCGAGAGGUCAAAUCCUCACGAAAACUAUCCGCCUCGCGAGGCGGUUAGCUAAGCAAGUUGCUCUCGUGUGCGGCGGGCUUGAGCUAUAAGUGCUGAGCUGUUUGAAUCAAUUAGCCAAUGACAAACCAUAGACUAGAACAAAGUGGAGGAAAAUGCAAAUGUUUUGUCAAUUAGUUUAGUUUAGUUUAAUGAAAUAUGUCACAUUACAUUACAUUGCGAAUUACAAAUUACAAAUAAAUACAGGACUUGCAUGCAACACCUGAACUAACAAUCACACAAAGACGGAGUGACAGGAGAGGAAAACAGGACUAACGUCCCAAUUGACAAUCCUCCCCCUUUAUAUACUACAAAAAUAUAAAAUACCUUGUGAACACAAUACACAAGAGUAUAGUUUACGGUGGACAAUACAAAGAUAGCUUAUUUCUGUAAUAACGAAGAAGGAGGUUUUUGAAUUCGGUAAGACUGGAUGCAUGUUUUAUGGAAUGAGGGAGCUCAUUCCAUAUCUUAACUGUCCUAGGGAAAUAUGAAUUUAUAAAGUAAUUCUGGCGAUGGGAUGAAUAAAAGCGAUAAUUUGCUUCAUCAAAGUUUCGCGUAGCAUAACCAGACGAGGCUGGUUGUAAUAAGUUCUGGAGGUUAGCGUUAAUAAGACGAGUCUUAGACUUAAAAAGGAGAAUUAGAUCUAUUGUUUCUCUGCGAUGUUCCAAUGGGAGUAUGCUCAACAUGGCUAAUCUUUCCGUAUAGUUUACAUUGCUUGGGUAGUCCAAAAUAAACUUUGUGGCACGACGCUGUAUAUUUUCGAUAAGUUUCUUGUGCUUUACUGUGUAUGGUGACCAUAGACUACUCGCGUACUCUAGUAGAGGUCUAACUAAUGACACGUAUAGGAGCAGUCUAAUGGAACGGUCGUGGAAGUCUUUGGAGACACGCUUUACUAGGCCAAGAGUUUUGUUUGCCUUAGCACACAUCUGUUCAAUGUGUGCCCCCAUGAUAAAUCUCUUGUAACAGUGACACCAAGAUCUCGUGUUUCAACAGGAGCGUCCAAUUUAUGCCCAGAUAAAUAAUAUUCGCGCAGAAGAGACCCAGCAGACUUUUUUCGUGACAUAUGCAAAACUUUGCACUUGGAUGUACUAAAAUCCAUAGCAUUAACACGACUCCAGUCCUGUAGCGAAUAAAGAUCAGCCUGUAGGGAGAUUGAUGUACUUGGAGAAUCAAUAGUGCGGUAAAGUUUUGAGUCAUCCGCAUAAAGGGCUAUAGUUGAUCCUUGUGUAACAUGAUCGGGCAUGUCGUUGACGUACACCAGAAAAAGUAGGGGCCCCAGUAUGGAACCCUGGGUCUAACGUAUAGUCUAACGUGUGCGGUGACAUUACAUAGCUGAGCUAGCUGCCACGCGAGGCGGUUAGCUCAACAAGUUGCUCUCGUGUGCGGCGGGCUAAAUUACUGGUGAAAAUUUGACAAAAGGACAUUUUGUGACAUGCAUGCAACGUCCACUGCUGGGAUUCUGCCAUUGAGCACUUUUCCCAGCUAUUAGUCGGUCACAAAACCAGGUUCGGUUUUAUUAACUUUUUUUAUUUAAAUUUAAUUGUGGUUAUUCAACACGACCAUCAAUUCGUUCUCCUAGAUUGUCAUAUAACUGGUGACGUGGUAAUUUAUAGUUUGUUCUGUCACAACCUACCUCAUCUCAGUCCAAAAGACUAAGAAUGCUUUCUUAGAAUCACAAAUAUACCUACUGCAUAUGCCAUAUACCUGAUUAAAACAACGACAUGACUACAAGACAAACAUUGCUUUUAACUGCUAGGCCUACUAUUAUUGAUUAUAUAAAUGUUUUUUUAACAAUAGAUGAUUCCCCUUAUUAGAGGGCCCCCUAUACUUUUUGCGUGAAGCGUGAAGGGCUUGUUUUACUUAACCGUGAAACGUGAUCAGGCCCCCUAUACUUUUUGCGUGAAGCGUGAAGGGCUUAUUUUACUUAGCCGUGAAACGUGGUCGAUGAUUUUCUUAAUCUGUGACUCGUGAAAAGGCAAAAUAUUUUUACGUGAAAGCAUAUUGUGAAGAGAUAUAGGGGGCCCUCUUAUUACGUUUUCGUAGCGCUUUGCAUUGUGGUUAUAGUGGUAUCGCAGGUAUUUAAGAUGGCUUAUUUUUUGUUCUGACCCGUGCAAGAACUUUUAAAAAAGCUAGGGUCAGGUGCACGAUAGCCAACAGCAAAAUAUUCGCUAAAACAUUCAAUAUUUUUAUUGGAGGCCGCUAUCUUUAUCAGUGAUACCACUAUAACCACAAUGCAAAGCGGUACGAAUUAGAAACGUAAUAAGGGGAAUCAUCUAUUGACUAGUAACAAUUAAGUAUAUAGUUAUUAUAAGUAUAUCUUUGGCAGAUUAAUAUCUUUCUGAAACUUCGGACAUUAUAUGCUUUUGCUUUGCCAAAUACUUUUCAGCCACAGCCAAGCCAUAUAUACAAUGAUACUUUCCAUUUCCUCGGGACUUUUGUCAAACUCCCGUACCACAUCCCGUGCGAACCAAUCUUUGUCGACGACCAAGCGACAUAUUUAUUGUAUUUAAAUUGUUAUAAUUGUUUUCAUACAGGCUGUGUUGAUAAAGAUGCAAUGUGUGUUUACCGUGCUCUUGCUGGAGAUUGUGCCAGAGCUGAUGCUAUUAGUACCUGGAUGCUUAGUAACUGUAAAAAGUCGUGUUGUUCUUGGAAUAAGAACGCGUACUGUUUGGAUUGGGCUAACAAUCAGCAGUGUUCAGUAAAUACGAGUUACAUGAUCCCAAACUGUCCAUCAGCUUGUUUACUUCGUUGCUCAUGUUAAAGUAAGCUUUCCAAUAAUAUAUUGAAAAACAGUAUAGCAUAAAUUCUGUAUUAGGCCUCUACUCAGAAAUAACCCUCCUCAGGAACACCCUUCCAGGAAAUAAAUUACUAAGCGUUUUCAGCCCACAAUCAAAUCCUCCUCCCAUAAAAAGUCAUCUGUCAUCUGUAGUGAUCAUUUGGCUUUCAAGCAUUUCGGACAACCCAGAAAAGCAAAGCGAACUCUAAUUAAUAGUCCCCUUUGUAUGAAUGAAUGCUAAUAAAGUUGAAAUAAUGAGUGAUUGAUAUGGAGAACAGUAAGAUAUUUAAGGAAAUUAAUGAAUAGACAAUAAAUGGAUUGAAAUAUUGUUAGGUUAAUGGGGUGCUUUUUUAACCAAAUUUCAUGGGAAACAAUCUUAUUCCUUAUUAAUAAUACACAAGACUUACCGAUUUUUAUGAUACACAAGACUUACUGCAUUUUUAUGAAAUAUUUUUGCACUGUUGUUUGCGAGUUAUACAAACGCAUAUUUUAAUUAUAUUUCUAGGUGAUUGGAUGUACGACAACAUACUAUUGGCCAAAGUAAUAAGGACAAGUAGACAUUAGAAAUAUAGUCACUUUGUAGAUCGUUCAAACGAUGACAUGCAGUCAAGCAUACGAAACGUUCCUUGUAGAAUUUAUAACUGUUAACUUUGUACUUGCAGUUUAAAAUAAAUC